CAAUAGCGUAUAUUUAAGUUGUUGCAGUUAAAAAGCUCGUAGUUGGAUUUCGGAUGGGAUUUGCCGGUCCGUCGUUACGAUGUGCACUGGCCAGUCCUAUCUUGUUGUCGGGGACUAGCUCCUUGGAUUCACUUCCUGGGACUAGGAGCUGACGAGGUUACUUUGAGUAAAUUAGAGUGUUCAAAGCAAGCCUACGCUCUGAAUACAUUAGCAUGGAGUAACACGAUAGGACUCUGGCUUAUCUUGUUGGUCUGUGAGACCAGAGUAAUGAUCAAGAGGGACAGUCGGGGACAUUCGUAUUUCAUUGUCAGAGGUGAAAUUCUUGGAUUUAUGAAAGACGAACUUCUGCGAAAGCAUUUGUCAAGGAUGUUUUCAUUAA
rnacentral:rRNA from 1 species